CUAGUCAAAAUCAAAACAACCUUCUUUUGGUCUCUCAACCCUUUUCUCCUUCAUCACUCUCUCUACGACUUCACUUUCAAUCCCUAAAAAGCUUCCUCUUUUCAACUCAUAUGCUUCUGGACCUUGAUGUUCUGAACGAUUACUGGUUGUGUCGUUGA